rnacentral:rRNA from 1 species
UACAGAGGCCCCGAGCGUUGUUCGGAUUCACUGGGCGUAAAGGGUGCGUAGGUGGCUUGAUAAGUUUGAUGUGAAAGCUCAGGGCUUAACCCUGAAAUGGCAUUGAAUACUGUCGAGCUGGAGGUUUGGAGGGGGGACUGGAAUUCUUGGUGUAGCAGUGAAAUGCGUAGAUAUCAAGAGGAACACCAGUGGCGAAGGCGAGUCCCUGGACAACACCUGACACUGAGGCACGAAAGCUAGGGGAGCAAACAGG